rnacentral:piRNA from 1 species
UGGAGCUUGUGAUCUCCCACUAAGACCUAAC